UACGUAGGCAGCGAGCGUUGUUCGGAGUUACUGGGCGUAAAGAGUGCGUAGGCGGUGCUCUAAGUUUGGUGUGAAAUCUCCCGGCUCAACUGGGAGGGUGCGCCGAAAACUGGAGUGCUCGAGUAUGGGAGAGGUAAGCGGAAUUCCUGGUGUAGCGGUGAAAUGCGUAGAUAUCAGGAGGAACACCUGCGGUGUAGACGGCUUACUGGACCAUGACUGACGCUGAGGCACGAAAGCGUGGGGAGCGAACAGG
rnacentral:rRNA from 1 species